GUCGUAACAAGGUAGCCGUAGGGGAACCUGCGGCUGGAUCACCUCCUUAAUCGAAGACUCAGCUUCUUCACAAGUUCCCACACGAAUUGCUUGAUUCAUUGAAGAAGACGAUAGAAACAGCCCGAAAUUGGGUCUGUAGCUCAGUUGGUUAGAGCGCACCCCUGAUAAGGGUGAGGUCGGCAGUUCGAAUCUGCCCAGACCCACCAAUUUUGUGUGGGAAAAGCCUGUAGAAAUACGGGGCCAUAGCUCAGCUGGGAGAGCGCCUGCCUUGCACGCAGGAGGUCAACGGUUCGAUCCCGUUUGGCUCCACCACUUACCGCUGUUUCGUUGUUAGAGCUUAGAAAUGAGCAUUCCACCGGUUGGGUGAUGAGUGUUGAUUUCUAGUCUUUGAUUAGAUCGUUCUUUAAAAAUUUGGGUAUGUGAUAGAAAGAUAGACUGUGAACCACUUUCACUGGUGGGGAACAGGCUAAGGUAAAGUUUGUGAAUGCAAACUUUCGGCGAAUGUCGUCUUCACAGUAUAACCAGAUUGCUUGGGGUUAUAUGGUCAAGUGAAGAAGCGCAUACGGUGGAUGCCUUGGC
rnacentral:misc_RNA from 1 species